AUGGUAGCUUCAGUAGCACAAAAACUAAAAUUGGAAUGAUACAGAAAAGAUUAGCAUGGCCCUUGUGCAAGGAUGACACCAAAUUUGUGAAGCCUUCCAUAUUUUG
rnacentral:snRNA from 1 species